rnacentral:rRNA from 1 species
AUUGAACGCUGGCGGCAUGCCUUACACAUGCAAGUCGAGCGGCAGCGGGACCUUCGGGUUGCCGGCGAGCGGCGGACGGGUGAGUAAUGCCUAGGAAUCUGCCUGUUAGUGGGGGAUAACGCGGGGAAACUCGCGCUAAUACCGCAUACGUCCUACGGGAGAAAGCGGGGGCUCUUCGGACCUCGCGCUAACAGAUGAGCCUAGGUCGGAUUAGCUAGUUGGUGGGGUAAUGGCCUACCAAGGCGACGAUCGGUAGCCGGCCUGAGAGGGCGGACGGCAACACAGGGACUGAGACACGGCCCAGACUCCUACGGGAGGCAGCAGUGGGGAAUUGUUCGCAAUGGUCGCAAGCCUGACGACGCAACGCAGCGUGGGGGAUGAAGGUCUUCGGAUUGUAAACCCCUGUUGGGUGGGACGAACACUUUCGUGGUGAAUAUCCACGGAGGCUGACGGUACCACCUGAGGAAGCCCCGGCUAACUCUGUGCCAGCCGCCGCGGUAA